CGGCCCUCGCGGGGGUGCAUUGUAGUUGCAUUGCAUGUGUCAGACUGGGAGUGCAAUGCCCCUGCCAUGCAGCCCGGCGGGGGUCCC